AGUGAAAUUGCUGGGUUGUAUGGUAAGUGUCUAUUCAACUUUAGAAGAAAUUGUAAACUGUUUUCCAAAGUGGGUACACCAUUUCGAAUUCCCACCAGCAUU
rnacentral:pre_miRNA from 2 species